rnacentral:rRNA from 1 species
UACGAAGGGGGCUAGCGUUGCUCGGAAUCACUGGGCGUAAAGCGCACGUAGGCGGCUUUUUAAGUCAGGGGUGAAAUCCUGGAGCUCAACUCCAGAACUGCCUUUGAUACUGAGAAGCUGAAGUCCGGGAGAGGUGAGUGGAACUGCGAGUGUAGAGGUGAAAUUCGUAGAUAUUCGCAAGAACACCAGUGGCGAAGGCGGCUCACUGGCCCGGUACUGACGCUGAGGUGCGAAAGCGUGGGGAGCAAACAGG